rnacentral:rRNA from 1 species
GACGAACAGCUCAGUAACUCUUAUUUUAUUUGAUGUAUUAGGAUUAUAACUAUGUUAAAUUAUAGAUAACAAUAAUACAAUAAGAAUAAGAUCUAUCAGUUAGUUGUUAAGGUAAUGGCUUAACAAGACUAUGACGGAUAACGGUAUUACUUUGUAAUAUUCCGGAGAAGGAGCCUGAGAGAUUGCUACUAAGUCUAAGGAUUGCAGCAGGGGCGAAACUUGACCUAUGAUAUGAUAUUGAGGCAGUUAUGAGUAGUAUUUUUAAUUAUUGUAGUAUUGUAAGUAUAUACUACAAGAUAAAUCGGAGGGCAAAUCGAGUGCCAGCAGCCGCGGUAAUACUUGUUCCGAUAGUGUGUAUGAUGAUUGAUGCAGUUAAAAAGUCUGUAGUUUAUGAUUAAUAAGCAUUGUGAGGUAUAUUGUAUGGUUAGGAGAGAGAUGAAAUGUGAUAACCCUAACUGGAUGAACAGAAGCGAAAGCUAUAUACUUAAAU